rnacentral:misc_RNA from 1 species
AGUUGAUCGAUUCAGCCUUUAUUCCCACUUGGGAUUUUAAUACUCAAAGACAGUGCAGCAGCUUUGUUUCUAUUUUAUUAUUUGUCUUUAUCCUUGGAUCGUAUCGCAUGGCGUUUUGAUUUUUUUUUUUUCCCCUUUUUUUCAUUUCGAUUUUUAGCUUCCAUGACCAGAAGCAGCAAUAGGAGCUAGGAAGUAACUCUGACACGCCUCCGCUUUUCCGUUUCGCAUUUUCCGAAGCUGCAGAGAUCACCAUGAAAGUUCUGCUCAAUCCUGAACCUUCUCUCUCAAUCCACAUCACCAAUCAACGGAAUAUCACCCGUCCAAAACUCCACUCUUCUCUAUCAUUCGUUCCACACCCUUGGAUUGGACAGAAAUGCUGUUUGACCGCCAAAGCAUCUCUGGACUCGGCAACAAUUGAUCAGUUGGGGAUUUCGGAAUCGGAUAUUAAGAAUCCGGCGGUUUCUUCUUUGUAUCGAAGCUCUGAGUUGCCGAAACCAAAUCAGACGGUGCUGGAUGCUCAGGCUAGGGUUUGCACAGGACCUACACAGACCAGGCCGCUCAAUGAAGACCAAGCCUUUAAAGUACUAGACACCAUUUUAAGAUCAGCUAGGGGAGAGCUUAAAGGUGAAGAGGAAGUUUCAAAAGCGCAGCUUGGGGCCUUUUUCGCGUCAAUGACAAUUCGUGCAAAUGCGUUUCCGGAAGCA